rnacentral:rRNA from 1 species
CCUACGGGUGGCAGCAGUGGGGAAUAUUGCGCAAUGGGCGAAAGCCUGACGCAGCGACGCCGCGUGAGGGAUGAAGGUCUUCGGAUCGUAAACCUCUGUCAGCAGGGAAGAACGGUCACUGUGCUAAUCAGCAGUGAAUUGACGGUACCUGCAAAGGAAGCACCGGCUAACUCCGUGCCAGCAGCUGCGGUAAUACGGAGGGUGCGAGCGUUAAUCGGAAUUACUGGGCGUAAAGCGCUCGUAGGCGGUAUGUCAAGUCAAGGGUGAAAUCCCCGCGCUCAACGUGGGAACUGCCUUUGAAACUGGCAGACUGGAGUGUGUGAGAGGGUGGUGGAAUUCCAGGUGUAGGAGUGAAAUCCGUAGAUAUCUGGAGGAACAUCAGUGGCGAAGGCGACUAUCUGGCACAUAACUGACGCUGAGGAGCGAAAGCGUGGGUAGCAAACAGGAUUAGAUACCCGAGUAGUC